GCUGAAUCUCUGCUAUUGCAACCCGAAAGAUGUUGAUCUUUACAAGAAGAGAAUGAAGCCCAGCGAAAGCUGGGUGGAGGUUCGACUUGCGUUCUAACGUGCAAAUUGAUGCUCUCAUUUUUGUAAAGGGGCGAAAUACUCAUCGAAACAUUUAGUAGCUGGUUCCUUUCGAAGUUUCUCCCAGGAUAGCUGUGUUUUAUUAAAGAGUCUUGCCAUGUAAAGCGAACGUUUAGAAGAUUUGGGGAUAACUUUUCCUCUGCUUAUUCACGAACUUUAAAUGGGCACGAAAAAAAGUUUAACUUAAUUUUGAAACUUUUAUUUGGAUCGAAAAAACAAUUAGUGGGCCUCUUCUGGUAAGCAGGACGGGCGAGGUGGGAUGCUCCAAGUGUUGUUGGUUAAAGUGCCAAAGUGUUCGCUAAUCUAGAUACCAAAAAAAGG
rnacentral:rRNA from 1 species